UACGGGAGGCAGCAGUGGGGAAUAUUGCACAAUGGGCGCAAGCCUGAUGCAGCCAUGCCGCGUGUAUGAAAAAGGCCUUCGGGUUGUAAAGUACUUUCAGUCGUGAGGAAGGUGUUAAGGUUAAUAACCUUAGCAAUUGACGUUAGCGACAGAAGAAGCACCGGCUAACUCCGUGCCAGCAGCCGCGGUAAUACGGAGGGUGCGAGCGUUAAUCGGAAUUACUGGGCGUAAAGGGCACGCAGGCGGUUAAUUAAGUUGGAUGUGAAAUCCCCGGGCUUAACCUGGGAAUGGCAUUCAAGACUGGUUAGCUAGAGUCUUGUAGAGGGGGUAGAAUUCCGAUGUGUAGCGGUGAAAUGCGUAGAGAUGUGGAGGAAUACCGGUGGCGAAGGCGGCCCCUGGACAAAGACUGACGCUCAUGUGCGAAAGCGUGGGGAGCGAAACAGGGAUUAGAUACC
rnacentral:rRNA from 1 species